rnacentral:rRNA from 1 species
UGCCAGCAGCCGCGGUAAUACGAAGGGACCUAGCGUAGUUCGGAAUUACUGGGCUUAAAGAGUUCGUAGGUGGUUGAAAUAGUUGGUGGUGAAAUCCCAGGGCUUAACUCUGGAACUGCCAUCAAAACUUUUUAGCUAGAGUAUGAUAGAGGAAAGCAGAAUUUCUAGUGUAGAGGUGAAAUUCGUAGAUAUUAGAAAGAAUACCAAUUGCGAAGGCAGCUUUCUGGAUCAUUACUGACACUGAGGAACGAAAGCAUGGGUAGCGAAGAGGAUUAGAUA